rnacentral:rRNA from 1 species
GACCAGACUCCUACGGGAGGCAGCAGUGAGGAAUAUUGGUCAAUGGCCGGAAGGCUGAACCAGCCAUGCCGCGUGAAGGUCAGUGCCCUAUGGGCGUUAAACUUCUUUUGUGCGGGAGCAAUAAUGGUCACGUGUGGCCAGACGAGAGUACCGUACGAAUAAGCAUCGGCUAACUCCGUGCCAGCAGCCGCGGUAAUACGGGGGAUGCAAGCGUUAUCCGGAUUUAUUGGGUUUAAAGGGUGCGUAGGCUGUGAGGUAAGUCAGCGGUGAAAUGCCCCCGCUCAACGGGGUGAAGUGCCAUUGAUACUGCCUUGCUGGAAUGCGGAUGCCGUGGGAGGAAUGUGUGGUGUAGCGGUGAAAUACGUAGAUAUCAGGAGGAACACCGGUGGCGAAGGCGGCCUGCUGGACUGCAACUGACGUUGAGGCCCGAAAGCGUGGGGAGCAAACAGGAUUAGAUACCCGUGUA